rnacentral:rRNA from 1 species
AUUGAACGCUGGCGGCAGGCCUAACACAUGCAAGUCGAGCGAGAAAGGUCUUCGGACUGAGUACAGCGGCGGACGGGUGAGUAACGCGUAGGAAUCUACCCAGUAGUGGGGGACAACUUGGGGAAACCCAAGCUAAUACCGCAUACGCCCUAAGGGGGAAAGCAGGGGAUCUUCGGACCUUGCGCUAUUGGAUGAGCCUGCGUCGGAUUAGCUAGUUGGUGGGGUAAAAGCCUACCAAGGCGACGAUCCGUAGCUGGUCUGAGAGGACGAUCAGCCACACUGGGACUGAGACACGGCCCAGACUCCUACGGGAGGCAGCAGUGGGGAAUAUUGCGCAAUGGGGGAAACCCUGACGCAGCCAUGCCGCGUGUGUGAAGAAGGCUCUAGGGUUGUAAAGCACUUUUCAAAUUGGGAGAAAAAGCCAAACGGCUAAUACCUGUUGGUCUUGAUGUUACCUUUAGAAGAAGCACCGGCUAACUCCGUG